UUUCAGCAUUUUCCCGGCAUGGUAAAACCACAUUUCUAGCGCUUCCAGCCUCUUUAUGGAGUCUUCUUGUAAAGUCCAGGUUUCUGCCGCAUACACCAGUGUUGAGAUGAUGUAGCAACAGAUGUAGCCUUAAUUUGAGGUUUAACUUUCUAGCUGUUGUUGACAAGAACAGCAAUGGCAGGGUUUGGUAGCAUCAUCAUGACUACAAAUACGCCGUCUGCAACUGGAAGUGGUGGACAUGACUUGGAUGUUACUUACAAGAUCGCUGGAAAAGUUGGAGGAAUAGUUGGAGGGAUUGGUGGCUUUCUGGUGGCUCUGUUGGCAUUUUGUUUUGCAAUAUAUCAAUACAUUGGGAAACGCCGUAGUCACUGUGAA